UUUAUUUAUUAUUUAUAAAUGACUAUGUUAGCAACAAUGUGACGUCAUCUGUAACUGGGACGUCAUUAGGGACGUCAUUAGUGAUGUUUUUGUUCUCAUGGAAAUUUCAUGUAGGAUUUGUCAGGGUUUACAGUACAGUAAUUAAAACCAUAAAAAUCAUAUGUAAAGUAGUGAAUCAAAGAUAGAUGAAAAAUUCCAAUUAGAAUAUUUAAUUAUGACGUCAUAGCGUUACCAUGGUAACUGAAUAAAGUUCUCUGUGAUAGUUUUAAUGAUGUAGUACUCUCUUCCAAAUGUUUCUUUCUUAAAAAAUAGAUGUUUUAUGGUGGGAAAAGUAUAUUUAAGUCCCAUCAUUGUUCAGGGCCAUCACGUUGUUAUCACGUCAUCAUGUUUCCAUGGUAAUACAAUUUUG